CCUACGGGUGGCAGCAGUCGAGAAUCAUUCACAAUGGGGGAAACCCUGAUGGUGCGACGCCGCGUGGGGGAAUGAAGGUCUUCGGAUUGUAAACCCCUGUCAUGUGGGCGCAAAUUAAAAAGAUAGUACCACACGAGGAAGAGACGGCUAACUCUGUGCCAGCAGCCGCGGUAAUACAGAGGUCUCAAGCGGUGUUCGGAAUCACUGGGCGUAAAGCGUGCGUAGGCUGUUUCGUAAGUCGUGUGUGAAAGGCGCGGGCUCAACCCGCGGACGGCACAUGAUACUGCGAGACUAGAGUAAUGGAGGGGGAACCGGAAUUCUCGGUGUAGCAGUGAAAUGCGUAGAUAGCGAGAGGAACACUCGUGGCGAAGGCGGGUUCCUGGACAUUAACUGACGCUGAGGCACGAAGGCCAGGGGAGCGAAAGGGAUUAGAUACCCUGGUAGUC
rnacentral:rRNA from 1 species